rnacentral:rRNA from 1 species
UUUCGAAUCAUUCACAAUGGGCGAAAGCCUGAUGGUGCGACGCCGCGUGAGGGAUGAAGGUCUUCGGAUUGUAAACCUCUGUCACUAGGGAAGAAAAAUCAGCCGUUAAUAGCGUCUGAUCUGACUUAACCUGGAGAGGAAGCAGUGGCUAACUCUGUGCCAGCAGCCGCGGUAAUACAGAGACUGCAAGCGUUAUUCGGAUUCACUGGGCGUAAAGGGUGCGCAGGCGGUCGCGUGUGUUAGGUGUGAA